rnacentral:lncRNA from 1 species
CCCAUCGUCCGUCACACCCUUAAUCACCCUAACCCUUCACUUUUUCUCCAUCAUUGAAAUGUAACCCAGACAUCAACAAAAAAAUAUAUGGGUUCCCUCCUUUUCCUUUCUGUAAGCAGCAUAUUCUACUAGACCACCGGAUAAUGGAAAAUCCGAUGGUCUUCAGCCUUAUCCUCCACUUUUCCAUUAGUCCUGCAAUUCAUCCUUCAACUUUAUAUCAUUUCAAUAGCAUUUUCAGCUUAAAUCAUACCCUAAAGAGAUUUCCACUGCCCUGCGACCCCUGCAAAGUUGAAAAGUUGAAGGUCCAUUGGGUUUGAGAUUGUUAACCUCCUGAUUUUAUGAGUCUGAAAGAGGGAGCUUCCAAAUUUCCCUUUUCCCCUUUUUACAUCAGCCAGCAAAGAUGGGGAAGAUGAGUCCUUUUCCUGCCUCCAAUUUUACUCUGUAAUUUGGGGUCUUUUUGAGAAUCUAAAUUUGAAUUCUUAAGGCCUCACUUGAGGACCGUUGCAAACUCCUUCUCAAAUUUGGCUAUAAAAGAGACUUUGGGCUCUCAUUUUUGGGGAGCAAGAAAAGCAAGCAAAAAAACAAGAAUAACCAAGUAAGGAAAUCAGAAGAAGAUAUUACAAUUAGUUCGUAUUACUAUUUCUAUCUCGUUUUCUCGCUCUCUUUUCGAAGUUGAAGUUUGAGUUCGAGUUCAAAUUUUCGAUGAGGAGCCCCCCUAGUUCGCUGCUCCACACAAGGUCAGCCCUCUUUCUCUCCUCUUUUGUUUAUGUCAUUCGACCCUUAUUAUGGGAAGACUCAAUCUAAUCUGUUUAGAUUACUGGCUUUCAUAUCAUUUCUUUAUGUGUCACUAUUUCGUCAACACGUUUAUCUUUGGCCUAGUUACAUGUUGGGGAAUAAGUGUGUUGGUUUUUAAAUCCUUUUUCAAAGCUCUGCUAUUUAUAUCACAGAGUAAUGUCGUUACCCAAGUCGUUAUUCAUUUUUUCUCUCUGAGAUACAUGAAUAUAAUUUGUUUUGGCUUUCUGAUUCACUCAACUUGGUCACUGCGUGGGGUUUGCUUUGUACUUUAAAUGUGCAAUAAUAUGUAGAUUAGAGUAAACAACAAUAUGGAUUGGAAAGGUUGUGUCUGGUCGAAAAUAAAGAGUAUGUUGAUCUACUAUGUAAAAUUCAUCUUGUUAUCUCGUCUCUGUCUCUUUCCAGCCGGUCUAUUCUUGUUCUGUGAAUACGUAAAUUGGUUUUGGCUUUAAACUAGAUUGAUGUUGUUAUCUGUUUUCUGGCAAAUUGAGUUCAAGAACAUGUGUUGACUUGAUUGACCUUUAUUUCAACAUACAGUUGUUUUACGUCUAAACGUACGAAUUUGCUCUUCCAUCUCACUUUCACCAUCUUUUCUGUUAUCUCGUCUAGAUUUCGUGAACAUGUUGUCUUGUGUGAAGUCGUACCAAAAUUUGAAAUGUUGUCGUAGACUCUAUAAAAAAUGGUGUUGUAUGUAUGUUGCUUACCCCGUUUUAGUAUCACCUAAGAAUCAAAUAUAGAUUCAUCUUAAGUUUCUGUGGUUUUACUGUAUGUGUCCGUUUCAUACCUAAAAUACUCCAUACAUGAAUAACCCAUUCCCCUUUUGUUGUUUAUUAAUGAAUACGAUCCUGUGGAGACUUGGAAGGCUAUGCUCCAUUAGGCACCUUGUUGGUGUGUCUGGUUACUUUCUUUGAGUUAAGGAGCAUAAUCUGAUUUUCCUCAUUUAUUAAGGCCACUUUUUGUUUCAAACUUCACUGUUUCUCUUUUUGUUUCUUUGUUUUCGUUGUUUGUUUUCUGUAAAGUAAACCAACAACAAUGACAUUCAUGCCUUAUAUUCUGUAGUUGUAGUUUUGUACUUGUGUUUUACCUUUGUUUAGCUAACAUUUUAAAGUGUCCCAACUGGAAACACUCUGUGAUAUACUAACCUAUCGCCAGGAUCCUUUCCUGUGUCUUAACUAUUCUUCAACAUCUAAUUAUAAUUUUAUAUCAUAGUAGCAGAAAAUAUUAACCAAGCUGUAGAAAUUUUGUUUGUCGAGAUAAGCCAUAGACAUCUCUAUAGGGCAGCAUGUUCCUCUAAAAUUUUUCUGUCCAGUGAACGUCUUUAGUGUCCUACUUGUCAUUUUUGUAGAGUGAGUUCUAGAAAGAGUAUGUGAGUUAUCCCGUCUUCUUUUGUUCAUCACCUAUUCUAUCUCGUUUAUACCAUAGAGGCUGUUUACAAGUGAAUAUGAAAUGUGUACGUUGGUUGGUUGAUAAUAUGGGUUCAAAUCACUGUCAGAAUAGUAUAAGAACAAAAAUGAUUCACUAAAAUGAUUUCGAUUUCACAUAUUAGCUGUUCGAUGAAUCUUUGCCAAAUUGUUUAUAGUUCGGAUUGUCAUUUUAAAAUCUGAAGCUAACCCCCCCGCGCGCUUACACUUUAGUAAAGCCGGUUUCUUCCCUUAUUCCUGUCAUUUAUAAUAUUUGCAUGUAUCGGUUGAUUGAUUUCUUUUAAAAUGCAAAGUUCAUUAACUUACUAAUCUAGUUCAUCUUAGCUGUCAAAUAUAUUCAACAACAAAAUGUUUGAGAUCGUUUUGACAUCGAUUUGGUUGUUUUUUUCUCUUUUAGACGUGGUAAGGAUCACUUGAAUAUGUAUAUGUUUGGCCUAAAAUAUGUUGACUGCUUGAUCUUAUUACAGAAGGAUUCUUAAAAGGUCUGAGAUUUGACGAAAGCUUGCUUGCGAUCAUGGAAUGUUAUAACUUCUUCUUUUGCUUGAACGCAUACAUGUGACUACACAUUGGGUCAAAUAUAUAUUCUGUUGUUGUGUCACUACAUGAUCAACUUGCAAAAUAACUUGAAAAUGUUGUGUCGUUUAAAGGAAACUACAGGAUCCUCAGAAGAAAAAUAAACGUGUGUCCAUGGAGUUAAAUCUGGAUCAUGUUUCAAACUUCUGUAGUAUAUUUAUAUUUACAAAGAUAUUGAGUUCAUUGAAAUUGUUGUGCUCACUUGAUAGCUUUAAAGGAUUCUAUGAACAUGGAUUGUAUCUUUACCUAGACUACGCAUGUUGUGGGAGUUAAACGUUAGUUUCGAACUCAUAUACGUUCAGAUUUGCUGUGAUGUUUGUGAAAGUGAUAUGUUAGAUCUCUUUUGCCUAGAAAUUGUCCUUUGCUUGGAGUUUAUGAUGCUGGUAGUUUGCUAAUCGAGCCAUCAAUGUUUGUCAAGAAGUCUAAAUAACACUAAAAUACCGACUAUAUUUUAUCUUUGACGCCACUCUAAAAUACAAGAUACGAGCCUGCAACCACUGUCAAUUUGGUCUGUUCACUAGUGCCUUUUGGGGGAGUCUUGGAGAGUUGGAAAUGGAGGCUUUGAUAUUAUUUUCAGUAUCUUUGGAAUGGUUUUAUAUUCAGUGACAUUGUGUAACAGUGAGGUUCCACUAUUUUGCUCAUUAGCGUACUUUUUGAACCAUUGAUGUAAGGUUCUUGCAAGUUAAGUUUAUAUAUCAUGGGCUACUGUAGUUAUAACAAGCAUUAGAAAGGGGAGAUGUGGUGUUAGUUAUAACUUAAAAGGAUUUAAGUUACAUACAAUAUCAUUGUAUGUAAUAUGGUUUACCUUCCUUAUUUUUGAAAUUACCAAUCCACUCAUGAAAUAGAAAUUAUUGUAGUUGGCUUUUUCUUAUAAGAUGGUAAAUUAUUCUUUCCACCGUAUGUGUAUGUAAAGAACCACUUAAUCCGUAGUUUUUGUUCCUAGAAAAGUAGAAAGCUGGUGUUCCCAUAGAUUAUUAUUACUCUUAUCAGAUUUAGAUUUAUUGGUGUUAUUCAGUUUAGGUAUUUUGAUGGAUAUAUCAUUGAGACUGUUGCAUUUUGGUGCUGUUUAAGCCUUUACAGUAUCCUUCAAUAUGGAACAAUUUUUAUUCACCAGAAUUUUUUUUCGUUAUCUUUCCCUUUAUUCUAUGAUGUGAAGCGUGUCUAAUACUUUGGUAUUUAGUUUUUUUUUUUUUUUUUUUAAGUAGGAAUAACCUCUUGGUUUUUUUUUCUAACUAGAUGAAGAGAUCAUAUUCCUAUGUUUAUGUUAACCCCCUGAUCAUAUUCCUACUCAAACCCCUGCUUAAAGGUUUCUGAAUUUGAUUUUUCUCAUCUUACAGGAUCUAUUUUACUUUGGUAUUAAAAUUGUAUUGUCUAAAUUGCGAAAUUGUGAAUUCAUCUGUUUUGUCUAGUUUAUUGCAUUUAAUCUUCGCUUGUAAUACUUGGUAGAACAUCCCCUUUUCUAAUUUUUAUUUCUCCUUUGUUUUAUAUGUACACUCGGGAGCGCAUUUAGGGUCCCACGAUUUGACUCCAUCUGUCCAAAUCAGAGAAUAAUAGAUCAUUUUGUAUUUCAUCUAGCAGUCCAGUGUCUCUUUCCN